CAGCCUCUGUCAGCAGAACACAGGUCUCCUGACUCCCAGCCCUGUAUUUCCCUGCCCCCAUACUUGCAUUUUCAAAGGGCAAUGGAUAAAAGUCUAGAGCUCAUAGCUCUCGGGCAUUCUCUAGUGGUCCUCAGAGACUUGUAUGUAGAAGGGACAAUCCCAGAGUGGCUUUGGCUCUUCCUGCCCGGUCACCGGACUUCAGACACUCCUUCCUCAAUCCAGUGAGAGAUGUCCUGGGCCCAUGUGAAACCAUUGGUGCCAGGGGUCAAGGCCUCUGAGUGUAUUCCUGCUUCUCUCCCUAGGGUUCCCUGGACGUUACACUGACUCAGCCAACAAGGAACGGGCCCAUCACAGACAGACUGCAGAGCUGGGAAGAGACCUGGAGCCUCAUCCCAGACAAGGGACUUCCGGAGGACGACCCUGACGUCAUUGUGAAAGGUUGGCUGUACCGGGAGCCCCGUGGAGGAGGGGCACGGCCAUGGUUGCUCCCACGCAGAGCUUGGUUUGUGCUCACCAGAGAUUCCCUAGACCAGUUCAGCAGCAGCGGGAAAGGGGCAAGGCGUCUCGGAAGUCUGGUCCUCACAAGCCUGUGCUCAGUGACUGGGCCGGAACGUAGGCCCAAAGAGACCGGUCUGUGGUCAGUCACUGUGUCUGGCCGGAAACAUAGCAUCCGCCUCUGCUCCCCACGCCAGGCAGAGGCAGAGCGCUGGGG
rnacentral:lncRNA from 1 species